UGUUCCUACGGGAGGCAGCAGUGAGGAAUAUUGGUCAAUGGCCGAGAGGCUGAACCAGCCAAGUCGCGUGAGGGAUGACGGCCCUACGGGCUGUAAACCUCUUUUGCCGGGGAGCAAAAAGCGGUACGUGUACCGCGUCGAGAGUACCCGGAGAAAAAGCAUCGGCUAACUCCGUGCCAGCAGCCGCGGUAAUACGGAGGAUGCGAGCGUUAUCCGGAUUUAUUGGGUUUAAAGGGUGCGCAGGCGGCGAGUUAAGUCAGCGGUAAAAUUUCGGGGCUCAACCCCGACGAGCCGUUGAAACUGGC
rnacentral:rRNA from 1 species